AUUGAACGCUGGCGGCGUGCUUAACACAUGCAAGUCGAACGAUGAUCCGGUGCUUGCACCGGGGAUUAGUGGCGAACGGGUGAGUAACACGUGAGUAACCUGCCCUUAACUCUGGGAUAAGCCUGGGAAACUGGGUCUAAUACCGGAUAUGACUCCUCAUCGCAUGGUGGGGGGUGGAAAGCUUUUGUGGUUUUGGAUGGACUCGCGGCCUAUCAGCUUGUUGGUGAGGUAAUGGCUCACCAAGGCGACGACGGGUAGCCGGCCUGAGCGGGGGACCGGCCAAACUGGGACUGGGACACGGCCCAGACUCCUACGGGAGGCAGCAGUGGGGAAUAUUGCACAAUGGGCGGAAGCCUGAUGCAGCGACGCCGCGUGAGGGAUGACGGCCUUCGGGUUGUAAACCUCUUUCAGUAGGGAAGAAGCGAGAGUGACGGUACCUGCAGAAGAAGCGCCGGCUAACUACGUGCCAGCAGCAGCCGCCG
rnacentral:rRNA from 1 species